rnacentral:tRNA from 1 species
UGCCCGAUGGUGUAAUGGCAGCACAGACGACUUUGACUCGUCUAGUCAUGGUUCGAAUCCAUGUCGGGCAGCCA